UAAAAAACGCCUGCCGUGUUGCCUAUG
rnacentral:piRNA from 1 species